AGUGAACGCUGGCGGUAGGCCUAACACAUGCAAGUCGAACGGCAGCACAGUAAGAGCUUGCUCUUACGGGUGGCGAGUGGCGGACGGGUGAGGAAUACAUCGGAAUCUACUUUUUCGUGGGGGAUAACGUAGGGAAACUUACUCUAAUACCGCAUACGACCUACGGGUGAAAGCAGGGGAUCUUCGGACCUUGCGCGAUUGAAUGAGCCGAUGUCGGAUUAGCUAGUUGGCGGGGUAAAGGCCCACCAAGGCGACGAUCCGUAGUUGCUCUGAGAGGAUGAUCAGCCACACUGGAACUGAGACACGGUCCAGACUCCUACGGGAGGCAGCAGUGGGGAAUAUUGGACAAUGGGCGCAAGCCUGAUCCAGCCAUACCGCGUGGGUGAAGAAGGCCUUCGGGUUGUAAAGCCCUUUUGUUGGGAAAGAAAAGCAGCAGGUUAAUACCCCGCUGUUCUGACGGUACCCAAAGAAUAAGCACCGGCUAACUUCGUG
rnacentral:rRNA from 1 species